ACCCAUCAACCCAUCUUGGCGGCUCUUGCUUGGCUUUUUGUGGUUGAUUUUUGUUUUUUGUUUUUUGACAAGACUGGGAUUAAAACUAGGAUGUCGUGAUGCCAAGCAAGCACCUCACCAUUGAGCUACAUCUGCAGCCUGGGAUUUCUUAUCUGUCUAAAUGUAGGAAUACCCAACACAAGAAGGCAACAUACAUAUUGACAUAGAAGCACACCAUGAGCAGUAGAUUGCAUCCCUAACACCAUGAUUAAUCAAGGGCAAACAGAACCCUACCCAGAGGUGAGACGUGUUCCUAGUCUGGGCGGUCGGUAAUUCUCCUUCACUCCUGCAGCCCGGUUGCUAGAAGAAAUGAGAGUCAGCAUGGACAAAGCCAGCAGGGAACGAGGGGCACAACCAGUAUCUGCAGCAAGUACCAAACCCGGAGCCCCAUCCACAAAACUCAAUUAGGAACAAUUGGUUGUGCUGAGUGAGGUCAGCUCCAACCGGGGCCCAUGAGCUGAGCUGGUUAUUAGUGUUGUCAAGUUGCUCAGACAAGUGAAUCAGACAUCGUUCGUUAGCAUUUAUCUUUGAAGACGAGGUGGCUAAACAAUAAACCGUUGAAGAUUUGUUUAGGUGCUUCGUUUUUCUAUUCCCCUCUACAUGUUUAUAUGAAUUAUUUGGUCCUGUACCAGAGAGGAUUGUGUGGUAGUCUAAUGAGAUUUGAGCGUCAGCUGACACAGUUCUUUGUCCCAGUGUCUGGCAGGGGGAGCUGCUUAUUUACAUGGUCGCUGCAUGGUCCUUUUACAUCUGUCAUUUAGCUCAGCUCGAGUUCUCCGUUACCCAAAUAAAAAUGAAUCACCUCGGG
rnacentral:lncRNA from 1 species